rnacentral:snRNA from 1 species
GUGCUUACUUCGGCAGCAUAUAUACUAAAAUUGGAAAAAUACAGAGUAGAUUAGCAUGGCCCCUGCACAAGGAUGACAUGCAAAUUCAUGAAGUGUUCCAUAUUUUU